GUAAAAAGAUGUCAUCAAAGCAAAGACUACUUUAAAACUACAAUGGAGGAAAAAUGAGAGAAAAUACUUCUGAGAAGAUGUCCCCUACUGAUAAAAAAGGUGAAUCUAAGGAAAGUGCAGAAAAAGAGAGAAGCGCCAUUCCAGUGAAUGGAGAAAGAAUCUGAACUGCCCAUAUGGUGAUUUUUCAGGGGAAAGCAGCUCGCAAGAGAUGUACCACUGUAGUGUGAGAUCGAUCUCAUGUGGUGGCAAACAGAUGGAGGCAAGAAACUGGUCAUUCAUCUCCAGCAGCUCAGUGAGACUCUGCAGCAAUCUCUCCCUGGGAGCAGUGGAGAAAGAGAACCGGCCUGCCUUUAAGUAAGAAAAUACCCCAAGGACGCUGGAUCUCAGCAUUAAAUCCAAGCCUCGGGAAACAGCCUCCAUAAGACAAACAAGGAAAGAAAUAAACCCCACUGUUCUGCCAAGGGCAGCCACGUGCUUCCUAUGUCUUCAUUCUCGGAGGGAAUGCUGCUGUCACCAGGAGGAUCCGUGCAAGGAAGAGAGCAAUGAAGCCUCUUCGGACCCAACCAGGUGUCUCUGCAGCUGAACAGCAUUGCCAACACCGUGAGAGAUCUAUAGGCACUUAUCCGAGCUAAAAAUCAGAGCCAAGCUGUGGAAUUAAGGCAGGAAAGCCCACUUCACAGAUGAUGGGGAUGAAAACUCAUAACUCAUCUGUCAGGGGAAGUUGAGCCCCAGCACGGUGUGAUGUGGAGAUGCGGUACAUGACAUCUGGGCACUCCCAGUGCGCUGCCAGCUGCAGCCAUCUGACUGUAAGUGCCAUAGGAUGGGUCCAUAUGCUACCAAGCAGAUAUCACUCCAAGGCAGCUGGGAUGGAUUUCUUAUAUGCUGUGAUGGUUUCUAUCCUUUGCCAGGAAACGUCAAACGGUGCUUGAUGUGUUAAACUGAAAAUUCUGAACAAAAUUCAGCAAGGAA